rnacentral:lncRNA from 1 species
AGUUCAAAACAAAAAACUCUUUGGAAUUUUGAUUGUGAUUUUGCUUAAAAUUAGAGAUUACUUUGGGGAGAAUAGUGGUCUUUGCAAUUUUGAAUCUUCCUACCCAAGAACAUGAAAAACAGGAUGAAGUUGUCUAUUACGAUCCAUGUGAAAGUCCAGAGGAACUUAGUCAUUGACUGUGGUGGGGCUGCAGGACGAUAAGAAUUCGGAAGUGAAAGAACUCAGAAGGCAGUGCCAGCAGCUGGAGUCUGUUAAACGGGGCAGUCUGUGUCAAAAGAGCUUCUCUCCAGAGUAGAAAGGUAGGUACGCUCAGAGCGGCUUUCUUUUCUUUUCUCUUCCAGAGAUUUAUUCUUGUAUGAAGGAUAAAGAGGUAUUGAAAUAAGGUUUUUACCAACA